rnacentral:rRNA from 1 species
AUUGAACGCUGGCGGCAUGCCUUACACAUGCAAGUCGAACGGCAGCGGACCUUCGGGUGCCGGCGAGUGGCGAACGGGUGAGUAAUGCAUCGGAACGUGCCAUUGAGUGGGGGAUAACGUAGCGAAAGUUACGCUAAUACCGCAUAUUCUGUGAGCAGGAAAGCAGGGGGACCGCAAGGCCUUGCGCUCUUUGAGCGGCCGAUGUCAGAUUAGCUAGUUGGUGAGGUAAAGGCUUACCAAGGCGACGAUCUGUAGCGGGUCUGAGAGGAUGAUCCGCCACACUGGAACUGAGACACGGUCCAGACUCCUACGGGAGGCAGCAGUGGGGAAUUUUGGACAAUGGGCGCAAGCCUGAUCCAGCCAUGCCGCGUGAGUGAAGAAGGCCU